CCUACGGGUGGCAGCAGUGGGGGAUCUUGCGCAAUGGGCGCAAGCCUGAUGCAGCGACGCCGCGUGGGUGAAGAAGGGCCUCGGCUCGUAAAGCCCUGUCAGCAGGGAAGAAGUCGUUGGUUGUGAAAGAUGACGCAAGGGGUAAAUACCUACGAAAAGCCGCGGGAAUACGUAGGGGGCAAGCGUUGUCCGGAUUGACUGGGAGUAAAGGUUGCGCAGACGGGGAUGUAAGUCAGGCGUGAAAGCCCGGGGCUUAACCUGGGGACUGCAUUUCGAACUGGGUGGCUGGAGGGCAGGAGAGGAAGGUGGAAUUCCUGGUGUAGCGGUGAAAUGCGUAGAUAUCAGGAGGAACACCGGUGGCGAAGGCGGCCUGCUGGACUGAAACUGACGUUGAGGCGCGAAAGCGUGGGGAGCAAACAGGAUUAGAUACCCGUGUAGUC
rnacentral:rRNA from 1 species